GUCAGGAUGGCCGAGCGGUCGAAGGCGCUGCAUCAGGUUGCAGCCCUGGGAGGCGUGGGUUCGAGUCCCACUCCUGACA